rnacentral:rRNA from 1 species
CCCUUAGAUGUUCUGGGCAGCACGCGCGCUACAAUGGUCUUCGCAAACGGAUGCAUUCUCGAAGGAGAAUGCCAAUCUUGGAAUCUAUGCCUUGGUCGGGACAGUUGCUUGCAAUUUUUCGACUCGAACCAGGAAUUCCUUGUAAUGGUGAUUCAUCACAUCACGAUGAAUACGUCCCUGCCCUUUGUACACACCGCCCGUCGCUCCUACCGAUCGAAGAGUUAGGUGAAUUGUUUUGAUCGAUAAGAUUUGACUAUGGUCAACUCUCGUUGUGAAAUUCUGUGAAUCUGACUGUUUAGAGGAAGGAAAAGUCGUAACA